GCGGCCGGAACCCGGCGGCGACGAGGGAUUCGACACCGCCAGGCACCGAGGUCCCGCGGCGACGAAGAAACCCUUCGGAUCCUCCUGGUAUUCACCGCCCUCGGCGGACGACGCCGAGGCGCGAGGACAUCGAUGGCCCACGAGCCCCUUCAGCCAUGCGCGACCGCGACUGCGUUUGCACGGCGCGACAGUGCGGGGACGAGCAACGCAUCUAGUUGCACGGCGCGACGGCGACCUUGCGGGGCAUCUAACCGCGGCAGCAAGCGGCGCAGCGCCUCCGGUGCGGGGCGGAGAGCGGAGGCCGGCCGCAGCGCCGAGCUUCGUCACAGCAAGGUGCUUGUUGUAUUACCUGGGUGAGCACCUUUGGAAGUUGGGAUCUCUAGAUCACUGGAAGGAGAUGAAAAAAGGUAGUGAAGUCAGGCAAGGUGCACUCUAUAUAAUAAAGCUACAACAUGUAUACCAUUAACAACUUGAGUGGAGUAAUCUGAAGAUUCUGCAUUCAGUUAUCAGUUUCUUCUGUAGCAGUGUUUCCUUUCAGUUUCAUCAGGAACCUGAUUCAGUUUCGUCAGACUUUGGAGAGCAUAGCAACUCGGCUUCCACAUCGCUCAAGCUGAUGACUUCACUUCAAUGCUUAAGCGCAUUUUCUUUGUUUUGCCGGACUUACAGUAUUAGUCCCCUUAAAUCUAAUUGCUUAACGUAAUUACUGUACUUUUCACACACACAGAAUGUUGUACUGAACAUCAUCGAGAUGCAGAACUAGUAAACUCUAGGUUAAGGUAGCAGUGAAUUGUAUCCUGGAUCUGUUAUCAGUGAA